CUACGGGCGGCACCAGUUAAGAAUAAUCUACAAUGCACGCAAGUGUGAUAGUUUGAGCCAGAGUGAGUUUCAAUGAAACUCUUUUGUGAAAUGUAAAAAGUUUUACGAAUAAGGACUGGGUAAGACUAGUGCCAGCCGCCGCGGUAAUACUAGCGGUCCAAGUCGCAGCCAUUUUUAUUGGGUCUAAAACAUCCGUAGCUUGCUUUGUAAGUUUCUUGUGAAGUCUGAGGUCUUAAACCUCAGGCGGGCAAGAAGUACUGCAAAGCUAGAGACUGGAAGACGUAAGAAGUACGCUCGGAGUAGCGGUUAAAUGUGUUAAUCCCGGGCGGACUAACGACAGCGAAGGCAUCUUACGAGGACAGUUCUGACAGUAAGGGAUGAAGGCUAGGGGCGCAAAACGGAUUAGAUACCCCAGUAGUC
rnacentral:rRNA from 1 species